UCGAUCGUAUGGAAUUCUACGGGCAGAAGCUUUACCUUUGAGCAAUAUACUAUAUAGUCGCCAAUAGUAUUAGCACUGUUGUCUAGUAUACCUAUAUUGUAUCAUGAAGCAAGGGAGGAUGCUUCACAAGGAGACAACUCAGUGCGAUGAUGUUACACUGUGGCUUGCAGACAAUACAGAGUAUAAAACCUUUACAAGUAGACAACUAUAGCUAAAUUAUUUACAACACUAGUAUCCAGGUACUACUUCGGCGACUUCUGCAGCUGGAUUGGGCUUCAAGUUGUUUUCUUUGCCCUGGGCUUGUACGCAUACACUGGAGAGGUUGUUGACUUGGAAAGUCAUGAUGCCCGAGUCAUUUGAUGUGACAGAAGAGGCAGACACACUAUUCUCCUAUUAUGAU